rnacentral:rRNA from 1 species
GAUGAACGCUGGCGGCGUGCCUAAUACAUGCAAGUCGAGCGAACAGACGAGGAGCUUGCUCCUCUGACGUUAGCGGCGGACGGGUGAGUAACACGUGGAUAACCUACCUAUAAGACUGGGAUAACUUCGGGAAACCGGAGCUAAUACCGGAUAAUAUAUUGAACCGCAUGGUUCAAUAGUGAAAGACGGUUUUGCUGUCACUUAUAGAUGGAUCCGCGCCGCAUUAGCUAGUUGGUAAGGUAACGGCUUACCAAGGCAACGAUGCGUAGCCGACCUGAGAGGGUGAUCGGCCACACUGGAACUGAGACACGGUCCAGACUCCUACGGGAGGCAGCAGUAGGGAAUCUUCCGCAAUGGGCGAAAGCCUGACGGAGCAACGCCGCGUGAGUGAUGAAGGUCUUCGGAUCGUAAAACUCUGUUAUUAGGGAAGAACAAAUGUGUAAGUAACUAUUCACGUCUUGACGGUACCUAAUCAGAAAGCCACGGCUAACUACGU